rnacentral:ncRNA from 1 species
CCCGCUGAAUUUAAUCUUUUUUUUUUUUUAGUCAGUGGAGGAAAAGAAACUAACCAUGAUUCCCUCAGUAAGGGCGAGUGAACAGGGA